UACAGAGGUCUCAAGCGUUGUUCGGAUUCAUUGGGCGUAAAGGGUGCGUAGGUGGCGGGGUAAGUCAGGUGUGAAAUUUCGGAGCUUAACUCCGAAACUGGCAUUUGAUACUGCCUUGCUUGAGGACUGGAGAGGAGACUGGAAUUCACGGUGUAGCAGUGAAAUGCGUAGAGAUCGUGAGGAAGACCAGUGGCGAAGGCGGGUCUCUGGACAGUUCCUGACACUGAGGCACGAAGGCCAGGG
rnacentral:rRNA from 1 species